rnacentral:rRNA from 1 species
CCCUUAGAUGUUCUGGGCUGCACACGCGCUACACUGAAGGAGGCAGCGUGUACUCCUGGAUCGAAAGAUUUGGGUAACCCGCGAAUCUCCUUCGUGCUAGGGAUUGAGGUUUGCAAUUAUCCUUCAUGAACGAGGAAUUCCCAGUAAGUGCAAGUCAUAAGCUUGCGCUGACUACGUCCCUGCCCUUUGUACACACCGCCCGUCGCUACUACCGAUUGAAUGAUUUAGUGAGGACUUCGGACUGGGACCGAUGCGGCUUUCGGGCUGCGUCGGUAUUCUGGAAAGAUGUCCAAACUGUNUNAUUUAUNGGAAGUAAAANUCGUANCA